GGGGCACAAGCUGAACGGGUGAAGCGCGGGUCUCCAAAACCCGAGGUACCAGGUUCGAGUCCUGGGUGCCCCG
rnacentral:tRNA from 1 species